rnacentral:rRNA from 1 species
AACGUAGGACACAAGCGUUAUCCGGAGUUACUGGGCGUAAAGGGCGUGUAGGCGGACGUGUAAGUCUAUUCUGAAAGCUCCUGGCUAAACUGGGAGAGGCGAAUGGAGACUGCAUAUCUAGAGUGAGGAAGAGGAAAGUGGAAUUCCGCGUGUAGUGGUGAAAUGCGUAGAGAUGCGGAGGAACACCGAUGGCGAAGGCAGCCCCCUGGGCUGACACUGACGCUCAGGCACGAAAGCGUGGGGAGCAAACAGG